UACGGGGGGAGCAAGCGUUGUUCGGAUUUACUGGGCGUAAAGGGCGCGUAGGCGGCGCAACAAGUCACUUGUGAAAUCUCCGGGCUUAACCCGGAACGGUCAAGUGAUACUGUUGGGCUAGAGUGCGGAAGGGGCAACUGGAAUUCUCGGUGUAGCGGUGAAAUGCGUAGAUAUCGAGAGGAACACCUGCGGCGAAGGCGGGUUGCUGGGCCGACACUGACGCUGAUGCGCGAAAGCCAGGGGAGCGAACGGG
rnacentral:rRNA from 1 species